GACGAACGCUGGCGGCGUGCUUAACACAUGCAAGUCGAGCGGUAAGGCCCUUUCGGGGGUACACGAGCGGCGAACGGGUGAGUAACACGUGGGUGACCUGCCUUUAGCUCUGGGAUAAGCCUGGGAAACUGGGUCUAAUACCGGAUACGACUCCGCGGUGCAUGCUGUGGGGUGGAAAGCCUUGUGCGGCUGGAGAUGGGCCCGCGGCCUAUCAGCUUGUUGGUGGGGUGAUGGCCUACCAAGGCGACGACGGGUAGCCGGCCUGAGAGGGCGACCGGCCACACUGGGACUGAGACACGGCCCAGACUCCUACGGGAGGCAGCAGUGGGGAAUCUUGCGCAAUGGGCGAAAGCCUGACGCAGCGACGUCGCGUGAGGGAUGACGGCCU
rnacentral:rRNA from 1 species